rnacentral:lncRNA from 1 species
GCCUCUCUCUACCGUAACGCACCUUGUACGUCGCGCAACAUGUUUUCCAUACUGAUACGCUCGCCCGAUCCCCUCCUUUCCCAUGCGGUUAUAUGCAGACCGUGUGAUAACGUAUGCUAACAUAUUACAGUGCAUGCAUAACCGUAUUGGACGGCGGUAGUUUUUUUCUGACGUUGCGCAAUCCUUGACGACAUUCCGCUACGUCUUGAUCGUCUUGGAAACCGAAUGGAACUCAGAACAGGGCAUCGCCAAGUCUUCAUUUCAUCCUCGUCCAGCCGAGAUGGAUCUGCAGCACAUGCGACUUGCAAGUUCUUCUUUUGCAGAGGUCGCAGUUCCUCCAACGUCAUUG